rnacentral:rRNA from 1 species
UACGUAGGGUGCGAGCGUUGUCCGGAAUUACUGGGCGUAAAGAGCUCGUAGGUGGUUUGUCGCGUUGUUCGUGAAAACUCACAGCUCAACUGUGGGCGUGCGGGCGAUACGGGCAGACUGGAGUACUGCAGGGGAGACUGGAAUUCCUGGUGUAGCGGUGGAAUGCGCAGAUAUCAGGAGGAACACCGGUGACGAAGGCGGGUCUCUGGGCAGUAACUGACGCUGAGGAGCGAAAGCGUGGGGAGCGAACAGG